rnacentral:misc_RNA from 1 species
AGCUGCACACCGCACUUCGGUUCGUCAGAGGGUUUGCCCUUCACGCGUGGUGGUCACAUGGGCACCUUAGAUUAGAACGCACCGCUGCCAACUUCUUCUUUGCUGUCCCUGCACUGGCACAGAAGGGCGGUGCAACACAGCAACGUAUACAAAGAGCUCAUCCACAUACAAGCCAGUCGCUCACGCGUUGGCCUACAUGGAUGUGCGCGCGGGUUAUAAGAUUGCUCUCUCUUCUUUUUUCGCUUACCUCUCUCUCUGUUGUGGUGCCUUGCCUUAUCUGUUUCCCUUCUCGUCUGCCUUUUUCCCUUUUGGUUCUCGUUUCACAGAGUCCGGCAUUGAGCCCCCUCCCCUCCCCGAACCUCCCCGACACACGCAAAUAGGUAAACAGAAAAAUUUGCAGCAGGUGAGAGGGGAUCUGAAGAUGUUCCAUAGAAGCGACGACAGCUCUCUAGAGGCGUCUCCGGUGCACCCGACAGCGACAAGCGAAGCAGCGAUAACUCAACCUCCCCCACUGGGGCCCAACCUGGUGCAAGAAGGUAGCACUACUUUCCCCAUUCGCGAUGACAACGCUGACAGCGGGCAAACCCCACUUCGCCGCGCCAUCUCCGAAGAGGCUAGCGCGCCUUCACAUGCGGCAGCCGGCAUUUACAGCGACGGUGCUGAGUCACCCCCACCCAAGGCACCAACACGAGCACAGGCAGUAGAGGCCAGGCCUGUGGUGUCGUCCACUGAGGCCGCAGCACAUGUCGACCCCUCAACGGCCGUCGCCACCGUUGUCGCGUCGGCUGUGAUGGCUCCGGCGGUUGCGGGAAAGGAGGGAGCAGGCGCAGUUGUUCAGGGUAAGGUGCUUCACACCUCUGCAGAGCCCCGAGCCGCUAACGACCUCCCCAUCACUCGCGGGCGAGUGGCGCCGGACGUGCAUGAAUCGGCGCCUCGUGCCGCUGCGGCAUCCGAGAGAACCGCAACCAAGAGGAACGGCGGGACCGGCGGUGGUGAUCCGCAGCUGUCGGAUUUGCAGGAGUAUCUCCGUCAGAUGCGUGAGCAGACGAAGGGUAGAAGCCUGAUGGCUCGCUAUGUGCUGCAAAACGCGGUUAGUGACGUGGUGCACAGCUCGUCGUCCUCGGUGACAGCGGCCAACGCAGACUCUCUGCACCCGCGCGGGAUAAUGAAGCUGGUGCAGGGCGUACCCCGACUUCGCUUCCGCAACCAGCAGGUGCACCGCCGCAAAAUCAUCCUGCUAGGCUACCAGGAGGUGGGCAAGACGUCAUUGCGCAAGUGCUUUGAGUCUGAGCCGUUCUUCUUCAAGAGCCUGCCAGAGGUGCGCACGACCAGCGGCGUCGAGGUACAGGAGAAGUCCAUGACGAUCGAUGGCGACUCCGUUCACAUAAUCCUCUCCGACUUCGCGGGGCAGGAGUCUUACCACUCGCACACGUAUUUCCUAACGGAGCGCUCCAUCUUUGUUCUGGUCUGGAAGCUCUCGGCCGUAGAGCAGGACUUCCAGAGCAGUGGUAUCAACGUGCGCGAGGAGGAGCGGCUGCAGCGGUGGAUUGCGGAGGUGUUCGCCAAGUACCCGCACGCCCGUAUCGUGCUAGUGGCCACCCACCUCGAUGAGCUUCGCGUUCAGGGGCAGCGGAGUGUCGAGAUGAUCCUCAACAAGGUCGAGGGAAAGCUCCGCUCGUUUAUUGACGACCUGAUCGCUGCAUCUAACACGACGGCGACGCCGACGACGCUGGGGGCGCCGGCGCUGGCCUCUUCAUCCACGGCAGCCGGAGGUGCUCCUUCAUCCUCAAAGGGGCAGAUCUCAUCCCACCUCGCGCAGCCGCGUUACGCGCGCCGAGUCAUUGUCGGCAACUUCGCCGUGUCGUGCAAGACGCGCCUCAUCAUCGCCGCUGGAAACGCGCUGCGGCACCUCUCUGGCGAGAAGAUCAGCGCGUUGCUGAAGUAUCUCGGGGCGUUGUUGAAGGAGGACUGCUUCGCAGACCGCGAGUAUCCCGCGGCGGUGGUGCCCGGACGUCACGCCAAGCUGAUAGAGAGCCUUGAGGAUGUGAAGCGACGCCAUCCGGUGAAGCUACUGAUGCGCUUGAGCGAGUUUGUGCAGAUGGCGGUGAACGUCGGCAUCGAGUCGGAGGAGGAGCUGCUGCAGGUCGCGCGCCUCAUGCACAGCUGGGACAUGGUGUACCUUUUCAACCAGUACUCCAUCGAGGCCAACCCCCUCAUCGUUCUCUAUCCUCGCUGGCUAAACCGCAUGGCUGCCUCUCUCUUUUCCUAUGCUCACCUCCUGCGCACCCCACUGCACAUGCGCAGCAUGAUUGGCGGCCUCGAGUACCUGGUGAGCAAUGCUGAGAUGGCUGACAUGUGCCUGAUGCGGAAGGGCUACUUGCGAUGGCCGCUGGCGCGUGUACUCUUCCACAAGCCCCUCUCUGACUUCCUGCGUCGCCCUCCGGACGACGCGGAUGUAGCCAUGUGCCUGGAGCUGCUCGAGGCGAUGCAGCUCGUUUAUCCAGUCGAGGUGGAGUCCGACGAAUUCGAGGUGCUGGCGGAGGAGGUGCCUGUGGACCCUAGUGUUGGUCGCCCGGUUAUCAAGUCGCAGAAGAUCACCCGCUACUACGUCCCCUCGCUCGCACCACUCGAGACACCGCAGUCACUGAAGAAGCUGGCACCCGUCUUGUUUCACCGCGGGGUUCGGGUGCGGCUGGAGUUCAACCUCCUUCCUGACGAGCUCUGGUGGCGGUUUCAGUGCAAGCUGCACCGCUUCAUCAAGUCAGUCACUGUCUACCAACCUGCGGUGGGUGGGAUGGACGAUGAGGACUUGUUGCUGAACGGCUUCCGGCUGCGGGAGGCGGACGAGGAACAUAACCGAUGGCGAGACUCACUGUGGCUCAUGGGUCGUUGCUGCCGUGUGCUGGUGUAUCGUGAUGGAGCGAACGCGGUAUCGGUGCUGUCUGCCGAGAACACGUCGCGUGGGUCGGAGGAGGUGCUGCAGGCGGUGGAGGACGCGUUGGUGGGGCUUCUUCAAGAGUACAAAGGCGUGCAGCGCCGCACGUUUGUGGCCUGCCCCAACCAGGACUGCGGAGGCUGGCUCGAGGCGGACGUCGUUGCAUCCAGUGUCAGCAUCACGUGCCCCACCUGCAAGCAGACGUUUGAGAGCAAGCAGAUCGUUUCCUCUGGCAUAGGGCCGCUCGGCGCGCCGCGCUUUUCGCAGACUCUCCUCGUCGAAGCUGGUGAGCUUCUCGCCUUCUGCCUUUCGCACCGGUCUUGCCUUCACAUGUGCCGCUACCUGGGCAUCCCAUACAAGGGGCCCUCCCCAGCCCGCGAGGAGUCGGUGGAGGCUGAGGCAGACUCUGAGAGUGACAGCCGCCAGACAGACGCCCUGGGAACUCACGUCGAGUACUUGCACGCGCUGGACAAGGUGGUGCAGGCGGUGCUGUUCCGCUCGUGGAUGCAGCGCACAGAGGAGCAGGAGCGCCGCCGUCGCAUGCUGGAGGACGAGCCGACUCCAGCGUUUUUUUGAACACUGUCAACCCCCUUGCACAAGAGAGAAGACGCGGCUUAUUGAGCAAACCCGCAUAUGGAGGCCAGCGUCACAACGAAGAUAUGGAAGUGGGAGCGUCGCACAGCCCUGUACGAGGAGCAGGUGGCAAGUGAGAAUGCACACCGCUCGUGCUCCGUGAGUGCGAGCCUUCCUACUCCGCACCCGACACCGUUUGCGAAUUUCAUGUUGGCAGUCGACGAUCUUUCUUUUGUAUGAUGGCUGCGCUUUGGCUUGAAGACGGCUUGAGCGCACCAUCUCUCUUUCACGUUUUGCAGAGUCAUCUGUCCUCCUUUUGCCCGGCUCACCUGCGCGCGCAUUGGAGUGCGGGUAUGUGAUGGAGGUGUGUAUGUGGUGCAUGUGUGUGUCUUCUCGAAAGGCAGCGGCACGAUGUUUUCGUUUUCCUUUUUCUUCCUCCUUUUCUGCCUUGCAUGCUGUUCUCUCUCCCUCUCUGUUUGCGUAUCCGCCUCGCUUCCCCUCAGCAGCAAAAGAAGUGCGUAGGUGUGCGUGCUUCACUCAGAGUGACACACACACACACACACACACACACCACACUGAAACCGGCCACAUGCUUCCAUAUGAAUCGAGCUGUACGCUGAUUGGCCCACGUGGAUGCACACGGAUUCAAUGCUCCUACAGUGGACGGACUCGAGUUGGCCUCGGCCGUGUGUAUGGUGGAUGCGAACGAGUUGGAACGAACGACUCAGCUUUGUACGUGCGACUGCCUACUAGCCUAUCAUGACGACCUCUGCACUCCCCAG